UGGGACAGAAAAGUUGAAGCCUUUGCCAGCUCCACCUAGUUUAGAAACUCAUCGUUUUACUUGAGACUCGCGAAAUUGGGGGAGUUUUUGUGUCUGUUUGAUAGUUGCAAGUACGACCAUCUUGAUAUAUGGGGGAUGAAGGAGUAUGGAAUUUCUGAAUCUUGGGUUUAAAGAUCGCAUUUCGAUGAGCAGUAUUCGUCCUGGUAUCAUUCACCAGAUAUGUAUACCAACCAUAAUUUGGAAAGAUGGAGAAAUCUUGUUUCAAAAUGGCUUUGGCACAGGAGAGUUCAUUUCUUACAACCCAAAAGAGAAGUUCUUUAGGAAGGUCUAUGUUUACUGUGAUAAUGCUGCAGGUAGCAACUGGCACACCCGUUCUUUCCUUUUAAGUUUACACUCUUGGAGUUGAUCAGAAAUGGAGAAUUCUAGGUGAAGUUCCGUUUUCUCGACGGGGAACAUUUGGCAAUGUCACUGUUAAUGGUGCUCUUCAUUGGAUUAAUGAUGUAGAUCCUUAUGCUAUGCCCACCAUUUACUUAUUCGGUAUUGGGACAGAAAAAGUGAAGCCUUUGCCAGCUCCACCAGGUUUAGAAACUCCAUCCAUCUGCCGGAGACUCGCGAAGUUGGGGGAUUUUUUGUGUCUUUCUGAUGAUCACGAAAGCGAACAUCUUGAUAUAUGGUCGAUGAAGGAGUAUGGAGUUUCCGAAUCUUGGGUCAAAGAUCGCAUUUCGAUGAGCAGUAUUCAUCCUGAUAUCACUUAUCAGAGAUGGACGCCAAUGAUAAUUUGGAAAGAUGGAGAAAUCUUGUUGCAUAAUGGCUAUGACACAGGAGCUCUCAUCUCUUACAACCCAAAAGAGAAGUGUUUUAGGAAGAUCGAUGUUUACGGUGGUGAACCUGCAGCUAGUACAUGCAUUCCCAGCUUUUACUCACUCAAGGCUGUUGUGGGGAACAACUUUGAGAUCUCAAAUGUCUAUCCAAAGAUAGAGAUAGUUUAGUAUUUACUUUCCGUAAUUUCUUCCAAGUUAUUAUGUUUUGCAUCUACGUUUCUUGUAUAAUUUACUUUAAAGCCUGAUGAAUUCAUACUGUUUUCUGGAUGAUAUCUACUUGUAUGAAUCAAAUGAAGGAACAGAAUAUUGACUUGUUAGGUGAUCACAGUUACUUUGAACAAGUGCAUAUUGAUGUACUUUGCAAGCUUUGUUUUGAUGUGAGGGAAACAUUCAGGUUAGAUAACGGGGUUGCAUCAAUUGUAAGUGAAGUUUCUCUUAAGUCCUGAUCGUUUAGCUGGUUCUUUUUACUUCUGAUGAUUAUCUCUUGAGCAACUGGCUAGUUGUCAAACCAUCCAUUUUCUUACAACCUAGUAAUCUUCCAAUG